UACGUAGGUGGCAAGCGUUGUCCGGAUUGACUGGGCGUAAAGAGCGCGCAGGCGGUCGUUCAAGUGGCGUGUGAAAGCCCCCGGCUCAACUGGGGAGGGUCACGCGAUACUGAUCGACUCGAAGGCAGGAGAGGGUAGUGGAAUUCCCGGUGUAGUGGUGAAAUGCGUAGAUAUCGGGAGGAACACCAGUGGCGAAGGCGACUACCUGGCCUGUUCUUGACGCUGAGGCGCGAAAGCUAGGGGAGCAAACGGG
rnacentral:rRNA from 1 species